CAUGGCUGUCGUCAGCUCGUGUCGUGAGAUGUUGGGUUAAGUCCCGCAACGAGCGCAACCCUCGCCUUUAGUUGCCAGCAUUCAGUUGGGCACUCUAGAGGGACUGCCGGUGUCAAACCGGAGGAAGGUGGGAUGACGUCAAGUCCUCAUGGCCUUUAUGUCUAGGGCUACACACGUACUACAAUGGCCGGUACAAAGGGCAGCCACUCAGCGAUGAGGCGCUAAUCCCAUAAAGCCGGUCUCAGUCCGGAUCGCAGUCUGCAACUCGACUGCGUGAAGUUGGAAUCGCUAGUAAUCGUACGAUCCAGCAUCGUCGUACGGUGAAUACGUUCCCGGGCCUU
rnacentral:rRNA from 1 species